UGCGUAGGCGGCCUUUUAAGUCAGAGGUGAAAUAUGACGGCUCAACCGUCAAACUGCCCCUGAAACUGAAAGGCUUGAGUUCGAGAGAGGAAGGUGGAAUUCCAGGUGUAGCGGUGAAAUGCGUAAAUAUCUGGAGGAACACCAGUGGCGAAGGCGGCCUUCUGGCUCGAAACUGACGCUCAGGCACGAAAGCAUGGGGAGUGAACAGGAUUAGAUACCCUGGUAGUCC
rnacentral:rRNA from 1 species